UACAGGAAACCAGAAUACACUUGAACUGAUGGAUGUGUCUAAGGCAAUUAAGUCAAAAUAUUUUUCUAAUAAUAUUGAAACAGUUCAUCUCACAUUAAGAAAUACUUCUAGACCUUGUCUUGCUUAGACCAGCUGUGGAAACAUCCCUCACUUCUUCUGGACACAGGUGGAGAGUUCGCUGAGUCUCCAAAAGACGAGAUGCAGAUACUCAGCACUUGUGUGUGUGCCGUGGCAACGGAAAGCUUCACUCUCUUUUGGAUUCAAAUUAUUCCUCCUCCAGGUUCCCACCUAUCCUUACAGGGACACAACUCCAUACCCUCUCACGACAAAUGAUCUCCCUCCUCCACUGCCUAGCGUUUUUGGUUUUGUUUUCAAAUGGGAAGAGAGCAAGCCAUCUCAGGCAGCUGCUACCACAGAUUUUCCCUAUGUAAACUACCCCACAAAAUGUUCAUCUAAAUGUCUCCAGGGACUACCAUAUGGAAACUGACUUCAAAAACAACAUCCAAAGACAAGCUCUUAUUUUCUUCUCAAUUUAUUACGUCUAUAAAACAAGAAUUUGGA